rnacentral:rRNA from 1 species
GACAGAGGAUGCAAGCGUUAUCCGGAAUGAUUGGGCGUAAAGCGUCUGUAGGUGGCUUUUCAAGUCCGCCGUCAAAUCCCAGGGCUCAACCCUGGACAGGCGGUGGAAACUGCCGAGCUGGAGUGCCGGAGGGGAGAGUGGAAUUCCUGGUGUAGCGGUGAAAUGCGUAGAUAUCAGGAGGAAUACCGGUGGCGAAAGCGACUCUCUGGACGGCAACUGACGCUGAGGCACGAAAGCGUGGGGAGCAAAC